UGGCUGUUAUUAUUCUAAUGCUCGGGGUACGCGGCGGUGCCCCAGAGAAGUCCGUAUAAUUGUGCAAAUACGAAAGAAUGGCAUCUGAAAUAUCAGUCGGUGACUGUAUUUGACAUUUUUGUUACCAGAAUAUAUAUUUUCAGGCACCUGCAACAUAUUCGAGUUGGAUACCACAUUUGUGAUUUCGUUAUAGCAGUAGAAUACUCCACUGAAAUAAAGCGUGGCCAACUAAAUUUUAUAUUUACUUCGUUAAAUGUGUUCA
rnacentral:lncRNA from 1 species